AUGCUUUCGUCGCCAUCUCCUCCCACCCUCUGCAGCCUCCUCCUCCCCACACCCCCUCCCUCCUACUCCGGCCACCCCCACCACCCGCGCCGCACAUCCCCAAGCCGCCACCGCGUGCGCCCACGCAGCUCCAACCCCAACGCGCCGAGCUUCCCCAAGCCCAACCCCGACCCACCCCCGCCGCCGCCGCGCCGUCUGCACGCCGAGGACCGCCGCCUGAGCUCGCUCGUCCACCGCGGCGACCUCGACGCGGCGCUCCGCGUCGUCGAGUCCUCUCCCUGCCCGCCCGACGUCCUGCUCGCCAACAAGCUCGUCCGCGACCUCUGCCGCCGGGGCCGCCUCAACGACGCCGCGCGCGUCGUCGAGGCGUGCGGCUCGGCGGCCACGGCCGUCACCUACAGCGCCCUGGCCGACGGGUACUGCCGCGUGGGGAGGCUCGACGAGGCGCGCCGCGUCGUGGACGGCAUGCCCGUGCGGCCCAGCGCGUACGCCUACAACCCGCUCAUCCACGCGCUGUGCGUGCGCGGCCAGGUCACGGACGCGCUCGUGGUGCUCGACGGUAUGCUCUCCCGGGGUUGCCCCCCUGACGUCGUCACCUACAACAUCCUCCUUGAGGCGACGUGCAAGGGUAGCGGGUACAGGCAGGCCAUGGAGCUGAUCGAUCUGAUGCGCGCCGAGGGGUGCACGCCAACCAACGUGACAUACAAUGUUAUCAUGGACGGAAUGUGCAGAGAAGGCGAUGUGGACGGCGCCCGUGAGUUGUUGAACACCUUGCCUUCUCACGGGUGCACGCCAAACACCGUCAACUACAACACUAUCUUGAAAGGUUUGCGCACCGCCGGGCGGUGGGCGGACGUUGAGGAGCUUAUAGAUGAGAUGUUCAGGGGGAAUUGUCCCCCGAGCGAAGCAACCCUCAGUGUGGUCAUCAGUUCCUUGUGUCAACAAGGAUUGCUCCAGCAGGCGAUUAGGCUUCUCGAGAAAAUGUCAAAGCAUGAAUGCACGGCAAAUAUUGCUACUUACAAUGCUGUCAUCAGUGCCCUUUGUGAGCAAGGCCAUGUGGCUAAUGCCUUGGAGUUACUAGUGAAGAUGGAAUCCCAUGGUUGUAAACCUAAGACCACUACCUAUAACAUUUUAGUGAAGGCUUUGUGCAGUGGUGAUCAAUGGGAGGAUGCUGAGGAGCUAAUGCCGAAGAUGAGCCAAACUGAUCAACUUCCAGAUAUUUCACCAUUCAAUACACUCAUUGGUAUCUUGUGUCAAAAAGGGUUGACGCUGAAGGCCAUCGAAGUAUUUAGGCAAAUGCCCAAGAAAGGCUGCUAUCCUGAUUCAGUCACUUACAGUACACUAAUAGACGGGCUUGCCAAAACUGGCAACAUGGAGCAAUCCCUUGAGUUGUUGAAUGAAAUGGGCAACAAAGGAUUCAACUCAGAGGUAAAAUAUGAGCUGUUAGCCGAGUUUCUGGAUGAAGAUGAUAAAGUUGAAGAGGCAAUCCAGGUGGUUCAUAAACUGCAAGAUACAGGCAUAUCACCCCAUGCUGUUCUCUACAAUACAAUACUCUUAGGGCUUUGCAGAAAUGGGAAAACAGAUUAUGCUAUUGAUAUUUUUGCUGAUAUGGUGUCUGAUGGUUGCAUGCCUGAUGAAUCGACUUACACUAUACUCAUUGAUGGUUUGGCACAUGAAGGCUAUAUGAAGGAGGCAAGAGAAUUGUUAAGCAAGUUGAGCUCUAGAGAUGUUGUCGUUGACAAUUUGACCAACAGUGAUGCUUCGCUGUCUGAUCAAAAUAUUCACACUUCUUAA
rnacentral:rRNA from 1 species